rnacentral:rRNA from 1 species
AUGCAAGCGGGUCCCCAUGUGAACAGAGGCAAGAAGAGGACCAGGGACGCGGGAACUCAUUGGAUAAGGCAUUGGACAACAUCACCAUGGCGCCCUUGGCGUCCGCCAAUGAUGGAUUCAAGCGAGGAAGGGGUCGCGUCCAGAGGAGAGGAAGGAGGCCGGGAGGUAGCGGAUCCGGGCAAUGAGAGAAAGAAGCAGGGCCGCAUGCACCAUGUCGCGCUCCAUGAUGCGAGGCUUGCGGCGGCGGCAAGUGUUGAGGGCGGCAGCUGUGGGCAGCACGGAAGGAGCACGGAGGAGGUCCGACGAGGCAACAGAGGGACGGCGGGAAAAGAGGAGGGGCCGAGCCAGCGGCUGGGAGCUUCGUGGCGGCGCCAUGGUGGGAAGGCAAUGGUGCUAGCAGCGGGGAGGUCUGGCGGCGUGCGAGGAGAGCAGCGGUAG